rnacentral:rRNA from 1 species
AUGAGAAGCGGUUGGCAGCCGGAUCCGUCUGUUUCUAGCCGCAUAGAUGGCCGUGGCAGCCGGAUCCUGUGGAGGAGGCCUCGCCAGGGGCCAGUGAUGGCUGGAUCCCGCCAUGGCCGCGGGGUGCACCGCUGGCAGAUGGAGGAGGGUGGUGGAGGAGGGUCUCCUGCCGUGCUGGAGGAAGGAGGUCGGAUCCUGUGGAGGAGACCUCGCGCGCGGGGCCAGUGGUGGCCGGUUCCCACCAGGGCCGUGCGGUGCGCCAGCACAGAGGGGGUUGGGGGCGCGCCGGCAGACGGAGGAUGGUGGUGGAUGACGGUCUCCUGUCGUGCUGGAGGAAGGAGGCGGGGAUGGGGUGGGGAUCCAAUGAAGGCAGCGGAAGGAGGGGGCGGGGCUUCGGCGGUGGAAUUUGGUGGAGAAGGGGGGUGGGGGUCGGGAAGAUGA